AAAGAAUUAAAAAAAAAAAAAAAACUCGCAGUGAGAGGAAGCCCUCAAGAUCAAGCAAAUGACUAGAGGUGAAUUUCAUUGAGAUAUUCUCCAUUUUCUUUUGAACUCCUUUACUUUUGCAAUAUUUUAUGUUAUUAGUGUAUUGGGUCCAAAAGCAACUAAAGUAAUAAUGCAUAUGAAAUGUUUUAAAAAUAAAUUAUAUUGAAAAAUAGAGAGCUUAUUUGAUGUUUGAGAAAAAAAAAAUGCUUAAAUAUAAAAUUAUUAUUCUACGAUAACUAUGUUGUAAUUGAAUGACAUUUUUU
rnacentral:misc_RNA from 1 species